rnacentral:rRNA from 1 species
ACGGGGUGCAGCAGGCGCGAAACCUUUACAAUGCGGGCAACCGUGAUAAGGGAACCUCGAGUGCCUGUAAACGCAGGCUGUUCAGGUGUUUAAAACGCACCUGGAGAAAGGGCCGGGCAAGACCGGUGCCAGCCGCCGCGGUAAUACCGGCGGCCCGAGUGGUGACCGUUAUUAUUGGGUCUAAAGGGUCCGUAGCCGGUUUGGUCAGUCCUCCGGGAAAUCUGAUAGCUCAACUAUUAGACUUUCGGGGGAUACUGCCAGGCUUGGAACCGGGAGAGGUAAGAGGUACUACAGGGGUAGGAGUGAAAUCUUGUAAUCCCUGUGAGACCACCUGUGGCGAAGGCGUCUUACCAGAACGGGUUCGACGGUGAGGGACGAAAGCUGGGGGCACGAACCGGAUUAGAUACCCGGGUAGUCCCAGCCGUAAACUAUGCUCGCUAGGUGUCAGGCAUGGCGCGACCGUGUCUGGUGCCGCAGGGAAGCCGUGAAGCGAGCCACCUGGGAAGUACGGCCGCAAGGCUGAAACUUAAAGGAAUUGGCGGGGGAGCAC